AGCCACCAGCGAGAUUCGAACUCAGCCCCUGGUUUACGAGACCAGUGCUCUAACCUCUGAGCUAUGGUGGC
rnacentral:tRNA from 13 species